AGAUCACAAGAAGAUGGUCCUUGGUAAAUGUGCAGUUUUGGUCUCACAAUCUUAGGAAAGAACAGUAACCAUAUUUCAGUUCCGUGUCGUCCUCUGAUGGCCUGUUAAAGAUCAAGUGAAUAAUGACAAGCUGCAUUAUCUGCACUGAUGGAAAUGGAGUAUCAUUCUUCACUCCUCAAUUUAGAGAACUCCUGGGACAAAAGGUAAAACUGUCAAGCAUCGUGUUACAUCAUGGACUGAGUGGAAAUUCUGUGUCCUGCAAGACUCAGAAAAAAGAAAACGCAAUUACCUGAGUAAGGUAAAAUACUGCCAUCUGCUGAUCAGGGUGAUCACAUCAGCCCUCCAGAUCCGCAAGCAUCAAGACGGACUGUGGAUUUAUCCCACAUGUCUUUUAAUCUUGCUAAAAAGCACCACAUUGGAGAUAGAAACAUUAAUCAGUCUCCUACAUGAAAAUUUAGGACUUUAUGACUCAUCAGCCUGUGAUUGCUGUUGUUAACUUUGAAAAUGAACUAACACUUAAAAGUGAAUAUGUCCUUCAUUUAACCAGAUUUGGUUAGACCCGCAGCAGUUACAUCGCUAAAAUGUAAAUGAGGAAAUGCUUAUUGAAUUAGCCACUUUCCCAUGCCUGUAACAGAUACCUGACAACUGCAACUUGAAGGAAGAGAGGCUCAUUUUGGUCCACCUGGUCGUGAGCACAUCACGGAUUAAUCCAGUGUGGCCCUGUGAUCCACCUGCCCUCCCAAAGUCCCCCCAUGAACAAACGACUUUGGGGGGACAUUUUAGAUCUCAACUAUAGUGAUUUUACCUAGAAUUUCUGACUAGAAAUUGAUAAAAGUUUGUAUAAAGGCUUUCCUUAUAAAUGUAUAACGGAACUAAAUUUGGUACAGGGUCU